rnacentral:lncRNA from 1 species
CUCCUCCCAAUAAUAACUGGUAAGUGUUAGCUGCCUACUAAUUAGUCUCCAUGAAUGUGAGGUAUAUCUUUAGUCAACUAAAGCGGAACAUAUUCAACUAGCAUAAGAGACUUGAGUCAAUAUUAUGAUCUGCCCCGUUAUAAUUUAACUUAGAUAUGAAAUGGUAAUGAUUGAAGUAAAUCUUAAUGAAUGAUGAAUUGCAAGAGUCAAGUGCG